rnacentral:lncRNA from 1 species
CCCCCUUUGAGGGUCUCUAGCUGACUGCUACUUCAAUCAAGACAAUGCUGUCAACUCAGUGCCGAAUGUGGCCCAUGAUCUCUGGUGGCCAGGCACUUCCUGGGGAAAGGUGACCCGGCAGGUGUGAGCCGGCGGCGGGAAGGGACCAGACACAGCUCUGCCCCAGCAGCCCGCCGGGCUCUGCUCACCGUCUGCUCCCCACGCCGAGGUCCUUUGGAGUCUCCAUGGAGGUUAGUGGCUGUGAAGAUGGCUUCCCCCCAUCUGUGUCCUCUGGGUCUUGUGGGAAAAAGGCACCAAGAGCUCCGUGGGUGUGCACCCGUGACAGUAGAGGAGACAGGCACCUGACAACCGUGACCCCAGGCCUGGAGCCGCCAGGCCCCUGGAGGGAAGGAGCAUGCUUGCCAGAUGAAGACUUCAGAAUGCUGGUCGUUCCAUGAGAGCACAGUCCGGAUGUUGGAGGGAGAGGUGUGUCAUUCCCGGCGGAGGGUCGUCGUGUUCCCGUGGACUCUGCGGCUCUUACCCACAGGUCUGUGGCACCGUGCUGCGGGGCUCCUUGUCUCCUGCGGCCUGUGUCUGGGGGCCGGGAGUGCACCAUCUGACACCCUCGGGGCUGCCCUGAUGGUUCCGGCUGGGCAUGGCCUAUUUCCCGGAGGGGCUCAGGAAUGGGUGAGUCCUGCCGUCUCUGCCCUGGAGUAGUUCACCACUGUUUGCACUGGACAUUUUCUCCAAAUGGGGAUGGAAUGAAACGGUCUGCAUAACCAUGCUCAGGCCACAAAUGCUAUGAUUUGUCUGUUUCUCGUUGAAUGUGUGUUGUUUAGGAAGGAGAACACAGAAAUAAAAAUCUUGUGUAUAUCA